rnacentral:piRNA from 1 species
UGCCCAGCUUUCCUGCCAACUCCUGCAA